rnacentral:piRNA from 1 species
CCAACCGCAGGCCAUCACUUUCUGGGUAA